UGGGGAAUAUUGCACAAUGGGCGCAAGCCUGAUGCAGCCAUGCCGCGUGUGUGAAGAAGGCCUUCGGGUUGUAAAACUCUGUUGUUAGAGAAGAACAAGGACGUUAGUAACUGAACGUCCCCUGACGGUAUCUAACCAUAAAGCCACGGCUAACUACGUGCCAGCAGCCGCGGUAAUACGUAGGUGGCAAGCGUUGUCCGGAUUUAUUGGGCGUAAAGCGAGCGCAGGCGGUUUCUUAAGUCUGAUGUGAAAGCCCCCGGCUCAACCGGGGAGGGUCAUUGGAAACUGGGAGACUUGAGUGCAGAAGAGGAGAGUGGAAUUCCAUGUGUAGCGGUGAAAUGCGUAGAUAUAUGGAGGAACACCAGUGGCGAAGGCGGCUCUCUGGUCUGUAACUGACGCUGAGGCUCGAAAGCGUGGGGAGCAAACAGG
rnacentral:rRNA from 1 species